GGCUGAUCUCAUCGAAGGUGCCGUUGGAAUAUUUCCGGCUGUUGGCAAUGAUGGUCCUGGGAGCAGGGAGGGAGAACAGGGAGAGCCAGGUGUCAGGCCUCCUGGGAGGGCAGCAGCAGCAGGAGGUACCUACAGGGUUCGGAAGUUCUCCUUUCCCAGCAUCUUGUACUCCUGGCAGACUUUCUCCCGGACAUAAGCUUUCCCUGAAAGUGCAGGAGAAGGAGGAAUUGAUUUGGUGGUCCCUGAGGAGAUGUUGGCUCAGCCAGCCUGGGAAAAGCAUCCCUGGUAUCCAGGCUGCUGGUGCAGCUCUGCAGCCAGGGAAAGGAGCAGGGAGAAAACCCUCUACAGGUAAAUCAUAUGGCAGUUUUUGAGUAUGGAAUA